CAGGUUUACGUUUUGGCGGGAA
rnacentral:siRNA from 1 species